GGGUUGUGAGGUUAAGCGACUAAGCGUACACGGUGGAUGCCCUGGCAGUCAGAGGCGAUGAAGGACGUGCUAAUCUGCGAUAAGCGUCGGUAAGGUGAUAUGAACCGUUAUAACCGGCGAUUUCCGAAUGGGGAAACCCAGUGUGUUUCGACACACUAUCAUUAACUGAAUCCAUAGGUUAAUGAGGCGAACCGGGGGAACUGAAACAUCUAAGUACCCCGAGGAAAAGAAAUCAACCGAGAUUCCCCCAGUAGCGGCGAGCGAACGGGGAGCAGCCCAGAGCCUGAAUCAGUGUGUGUGUUAGUGGAAGCGUCUGGAAAGGCGCGCGAUACAGGGUGACAGCCCCGUACACAAAAAUGCACAUGCUGUGAGCUCGAUGAGUAGGGCGGGACACGUGGUAUCCUGUCUGAAUAUGGGGGGACCAUCCUCCAAGGCUAAAUACUCCUGACUGACCGAUAGUGAACCAGUACCGUGAGGGAAAGGCGAAAAGAACCCCGGCGAGGGGAGUGAAAAAGAACCUGAAACCGUGUACGUACAAGCAGUGGGAGCACGCUUAGGCGUGUGACUGCGUACCUUUUGUAUAAUGGGUCAGCGACUUAUAUUCUGUAGCAAGGUUAACCGAAUAGGGGAGCCGAAGGGAAACCGAGUCUUAACUGGGCGUUAAGUUGCAGGGUAUAGACCCGAAACCCGGUGAUCUAGCCAUGGGCAGGUUGAAGGUUGGGUAACACUAACUGGAGGACCGAACCGACUAAUGUUGAAAAAUUAGCGGAUGACUUGUGGCUGGGGGUGAAAGGCCAAUCAAACCGGGAGAUAGCUGGUUCUCCCCGAAAGCUAUUUAGGUAGCGCCUCGUGAAUUCAUCUCCGGGGGUAGAGCACUGUUUCGGCAAGGGGGUCAUCCCGACUUACCAACCCGAUGCAAACUGCGAAUACCGGAGAAUGUUAUCACGGGAGACACACGGCGGGUGCUAACGUCCGUCGUGAAGAGGGAAACAACCCAGACCGCCAGCUAAGGUCCCAAAGUCAUGGUUAAGUGGGAAACGAUGUGGGAAGGCCCAGACAGCCAGGAUGUUGGCUUAGAAGCAGCCAUCAUUUAAAGAAAGCGUAAUAGCUCACUGGUCGAGUCGGCCUGCGCGGAAGAUGUAACGGGGCUAAACCAUGCACCGAAGCUGCGGCAGCGACGCUGAUGCGUUGUUGGGUAGGGGAGCGUUCUGUAAGCCUGCGAAGGUGUGCUGUGAGGCAUGCUGGAGGUAUCAGAAGUGCGAAUGCUGACAUAAGUAACGAUAAAGCGGGUGAAAAGCCCGCUCGCCGGAAGACCAAGGGUUCCUGUCCAACGUUAAUCGGGGCAGGGUGAGUCGACCCCUAAGGCGAGGCCGAAAGGCGUAGUCGAUGGGAAACAGGUUAAUAUUCCUGUACUUGGUGUUACUGCGAAGGGGGGACGGAGAAGGCUAUGUUGGCCGGGCGACGGUUGUCCCGGUUUAAGCGUGUAGGCUGGUUUUCCAGGCAAAUCCGGAAAAUCAAGGCUGAGGCGUGAUGACGAGGCACUACGGUGCUGAAGCAACAAAUGCCCUGCUUCCAGGAAAAGCCUCUAAGCAUCAGGUAACAUCAAAUCGUACCCCAAACCGACACAGGUGGUCAGGUAGAGAAUACCAAGGCGCUUGAGAGAACUCGGGUGAAGGAACUAGGCAAAAUGGUGCCGUAACUUCGGGAGAAGGCACGCUGAUAUGUAGGUGAGGUCCCUCGCGGAUGGAGCUGAAAUCAGUCGAAGAUACCAGCUGGCUGCAACUGUUUAUUAAAAACACAGCACUGUGCAAACACGAAAGUGGACGUAUACGGUGUGACGCCUGCCCGGUGCCGGAAGGUUAAUUGAUGGGGUUAGCGCAAGCGAAGCUCUUGAUCGAAGCCCCGGUAAACGGCGGCCGUAACUAUAACGGUCCUAAGGUAGCGAAAUUCCUUGUCGGGUAAGUUCCGACCUGCACGAAUGGCGUAAUGAUGGCCAGGCUGUCUCCACCCGAGACUCAGUGAAAUUGAACUCGCUGUGAAGAUGCAGUGUACCCGCGGCAAGACGGAAAGACCCCGUGAACCUUUACUAUAGCUUGACACUGAACAUUGAGCCUUGAUGUGUAGGAUAGGUGGGAGGCUUAGAAGUGUGGACGCCAGUCUGCAUGGAGCCGACCUUGAAAUACCACCCUUUAAUGUUUGAUGUUCUAACGUUGACCCGUAAUCCGGGUUGCGGACAGUGUCUGGUGGGUAGUUUGACUGGGGCGGUCUCCUCCUAAAGAGUAACGGAGGAGCACGAAGGUUGGCUAAUCCUGGUCGGACAUCAGGAGGUUAGUGCAAUGGCAUAAGCCAGCUUGACUGCGAGCGUGACGGCGCGAGCAGGUGCGAAAGCAGGUCAUAGUGAUCCGGUGGUUCUGAAUGGAAGGGCCAUCGCUCAACGGAUAAAAGGUACUCCGGGGAUAACAGGCUGAUACCGCCCAAGAGUUCAUAUCGACGGCGGUGUUUGGCACCUCGAUGUCGGCUCAUCACAUCCUGGGGCUGAAGUAGGUCCCAAGGGUAUGGCUGUUCGCCAUUUAAAGUGGUACGCGAGCUGGGUUUAGAACGUCGUGAGACAGUUCGGUCCCUAUCUGCCGUGGGCGCUGGAGAACUGAGGGGGGCUGCUCCUAGUACGAGAGGACCGGAGUGGACGCAUCACUGGUGUUCGGGUUGUCAUGCCAAUGGCACUGCCCGGUAGCUAAAUGCGGAAGAGAUAAGUGCUGAAAGCAUCUAAGCACGAAACUUGCCCCGAGAUGAGUUCUCCCUGACCCUUUAAGGGUCCUGAAGGAACGUUGAAGACGACGACGUUGAUAGGCCGGGUGUGUAAGCGCAGCGAUGCGUUGAGCUAACCGGUACUAAUGAACCGUGAGGCUUAACCUUACAACGCCGAAGGUGUUU
rnacentral:rRNA from 1 species